rnacentral:rRNA from 1 species
GAUGAACGCUGGCGGCGUGUCUAAUACAUGCAAGUCGAGCGCUCAGGCGAGGUGCUUGUUCCUCCGACGUUAGCGGCGGACGGGUGAGUAACACGUGGAUAACCUGCCUUUAAGCGGGGGACAACAUCGGGAAACCGAUGCUAAUACCGCAUAAAAACUUGAAACACAAGGUUCAAUAGUGAAAGACGCAUUUGCAUCACCCUAUAGAGAGACCGCGUCGGAUUAGCCAGGUUGGGAGGGAAACGGCUAACAAAGGCAACGUAGAGAACCGGACCUGAGGGGGGGACGGGCCACACUGGAACGGGGACACGGUCCAGACCCCUACGGGGGGCAGCAGAGGGGAAUCUUGGCAAAUGGGCGAAGGCCUGACGGAGCAACGCCGGGUGGGUGAGGAAGGUCUUCGGAUCGUAAAACUCUGUGAUUGGGGAGGAACAAGGGGGUAAGUAACUGUGCACGUCGUGACGGUACCUAAUCAGAAAGCGACGGCUAACUACGUG